UAGGGAAUCUUCCGCAAUGGGCGAAAGCCUGACGGAGCAACGCCGCGUGAGUGAUGAAGGUCUUCGGAUCGUAAAACUCUGUUAUUAGGGAAGAACAAAUGUGUAAGUAACUAUGCACGUCUUGACGGUACCUAAUCAGAAAGCCACGGCUAACUACGUGCCAGCAGCCGCGGUAAUACGUAGGUGGCAAGCGUUAUCCGGAAUUAUUGGGCGUAAAGCGCGCGUAGGCGGUUUUUUAAGUCUGAUGUAAAAGCCCACGGCUCAACCGGGGAGGGUCAUUGGAAACUGGAAAACUUGAGUGCAGAAGAGGAAAGUGGAAUUCCAUGUGUAGCGGUGAAAUGCGCAGAGAUAUGGAGGAACACCAGUGGCGAAGGCGACUUUCUGGUCUGUAACUGACGCUGAUGUGCGAAAGCGUGGGGAUCAAACAGG
rnacentral:rRNA from 1 species